rnacentral:rRNA from 1 species
AGGGUGUAAACGCUGCCGACUUGGUGUUGGAGGCCCUUCGGGGGCAUUCAGUGCCGGAGAGAAGUUGUUAAGUCGGCCACUUGGGAGUACGUCCGCAAGGAUGAAACUUAAAGGAAUUGGCGGGGGAGCACCGCAACGGGAGGAGCGUGCGGUUUAAUUGGAUUCAACACCGGAAAACUCACCAAGGGCGACUGUUACAUGAAAGCCAGGCUAAUGACCUUGCUUGAUUUUCAGAGAGGUGGUGCAUGGCGUCAGUGACU